AUCUGGCAGGCUACGCUUGUCCGAAUUGUAAUCUCGAGAAGUGUUUUCCGCGUUGGCCUGUGUACAAGUCCCUUGGAACAGGGCGUCAUAGAGGGUGAGAAUCCCGUCCUUGACACAGACACCCAAUGCUUUGUGAUACACUCUCAAUGAGUCGAGUUGUUUGGGAAUGCAGCUCAAAAUGGGUGGUAAAUUCCAUCUAAAGCUAAAUACUGGCGAGAGACCGAUAGCGAACAAGUACCGUGAGGGAAAGAUGAAAAGCACUUUGGAAAGAGAGUCAAACAGUACGUGAAAUUGUUGAAAGGGAAACGAUUGAAGUCAGUCGUGCCUGCCUAGAUUCAGCCUUCUGGUGUAUUUCUAGGUCGGCAGGUCAGCAUCAGUUUGGGGGGGUUAACAAGGGAGCUGGGAAUGUGGCAACCUCGGUUGUGUUAUAGCCCAGUUUCGCAUUGAUCUCGCUGGACUGAGGAACGCAGUGCGCCCGCAAGGGUUGGUCUUCGGACACAUUCGCACUUAGGAUGCUGGCAUAAUGGCUUUAAACGACCCGUCUUGA
rnacentral:rRNA from 1 species